ACAAUCAAGACGCCCUCGACAAACAACUCAUGACUUGCUACUGUCUAUUGAAGAUCGUCGAAUGCAAAAAAGCACAAAUCUAUGACAUUGGGUUCACUAACCCAAAUACCAUAAAUGAAUGGUCGGUUAGAAACAGAGUUAAAGAUACUGAGGACAACUUGCUACAAUCGACUACAUCAAAAUCAAAACAAAGGGAAAAUACUCUUUCCUUACAACUUCAACUUCCACUUUAUUCUGCUGGAGAUUAAGCUUGAACGGGGAGUAGU